rnacentral:rRNA from 1 species
CAGCAGCCGCGGGAAUACGUAGGUGGCAAGCGUUGUCCGGAAUUAUUGGGCGUAAAGGGCUCGCAGGCGGUUUCUUAAGUCUGAUGUGAAGGCCCCCGGCUCAACCGGGGAGGGUCAUUGGAAACUGGGAAACUUGAGUGCAGAAGAGGAGAGUGGAAUUCCACGUGUAGCGGUGAAAUGCGUAGAGAUGUGGAGGAACACCAGUGGCGAAGGCGACUCUCUGGUCUGUAACUGACGCUGAGGAGCGAAAGCGUGGGGAGCGAACAGGAUUAGAUACCCCGGUAGUCCCUGUCUCUUAUAC